rnacentral:lncRNA from 1 species
GCAUCCCUCCUGCUAAGAGUUUCCACAGUGUCCCGUGGAAGGUGGUGGCUGGGAAGUGGCCGCCUGGCUAUUGGAUCUGCAGGGCUGUGACCUUAUUUUGGGUUCUGUUUCUUCGUCUUUCUCCCUCAACCCUCCUUCACCGAGUUCUCUCAAAAUAUUCUGCUGAGUGAUGUAGUUCAACCACAGAGUUCCCUUCCUGUUCUAAUUUUUGGUUUUGAAUUAGAUCGACUGUUUCAGGUUUCAUUUUAUUAACAGAAUGAGGUAAAAGAGCCACCUUGUUUAAGUCUUGAAUUUGUGGGAAAAUGUGUUCACGUUUACCCCAAAAAUCUCAGAUGGUUGCUGCUUUUCUAUUUGCGUAACUGAAUCAUGGCUUAAUUGAUUUUUACUGGAAACGUUUUGGGUUAUGACUUUUAUGCGCCUUUGUCCUGCAUUUGGGUUUUUUAUCUUGUGUGUGUUGUUUUGGCUUUUGACACUCUGGUUUAUUGUGGGAAGAGGAUCCUAGAAGUCGUUUCCUGGCUCAGUCCAGUCUACGUUUGCUCUCCAGGAUCUGAGGGAGGUUCUGACCAUUGCGUGUACAAGUCCAUACAUGUCGGGAAAGCUUGUGCUGCGUGCAACCCCCCAAAAUCUGCACUAUGGGCAGCUGCUGGCCUUGCCUGGGCUUGGAGAGAAUCUUCACUAUAGCUUUCCACUCAGGUAUAGGAUUCGAGUUCCACAGUUGCCUGCGUCCUGGCUCACGGGAGGGGUGGGUCUUAGGGGCACCUGGCAUCUGGUGUCCCAGGUGAGUCACGGCAAAAGGUAAGUGUCCAGCAAUGGGGAAGAGGAAGGAGGAGUGGAGAGAGGCAAAGGGACAGCGGGGAGCUGGGUGGGGGAGGGGAAAUGGAGCCCCUGGGGACCCAGGAGGAGUGUCCCAGUGAAGAGUCCAGUCUGCUGCUGCUGAAGUUUGUUCAACUGCUGAUUAGUUUUGGCCAGAUAAUUUUUUUCUAGUGAAUCAAGAUUUUAAAUCAGAUUUCCUUUGGAGGUCUCCAAAUACCAAUCAAAAAUGGCUGUCCCCUGGGCCUGAUAAACCCUAUUCCCUUGGUAAAGUUAGGGCGUUUAGAAAGACAGGUGUAAGAAUUAGGAUUGUAAGGAAAGUGCCUCUGAGAAGAAGGGGUGUUUCCCAUUGGAGGAGAGUGGGGAGGCCCAGAACUUCCUGGUGAGGACAGGAGGGAGACCCAGAGCUUCCAAGUGGAGGAGAGGAGGGAGGCCCAGAGCUUCCCGGUGGAGGAGAGCGGGGAGGCCCAGAGCUUCCUGGUG